rnacentral:tRNA from 1 species
GCACCCGUAGCUCAAAGGAUAGAGCAACUGCCUUCUAAGCAGUAGGCUGCAGGUUCGAGUCCUGCCGGGUGCG